rnacentral:snoRNA from 1 species
AGCACUUGUGUGUGUGUUUUUUGUUUAAUUUGUGAGCAAAGACUUACAGACAGGUGUAUAACAAUAAAUCCUGUUUUGCAACUCAGAAUUCAUUGUCCAGAAAUUUUAUUGUGGAGGGGACAAU